rnacentral:rRNA from 1 species
UACGUAGGGGGCAAGCGUUAUCCGGAUUUACUGGGUGUAAAGGGAGCGUAGACGGAAUUGCAAGUCUGAUGUGAAAAUCCGGGGCCCAACCCCGGAACUGCACUGGAAACUGUAUUUCUAGAGUGUCGGAGAGGCAAGUGGAAUUCCUGGUGUAGCGGUGAAAUGCGUAGAUAUCAGGAGGAACACCAGUGGCGAAGGCGGCUUGCUGGACGAUGACUGACGUUGAGGCUCGAAAGCGUGGGGAGCAAACAGG